AACGAACGCUGGCGGCGUGCCUCAGACAUGCAAGUCGAACGAUUAAAGCUCUCUUCGGAGAGUGCAUAGAGUGGCGCACGGGUGAGUAACACGUAAGUAAUCUACCUUCGAGUGGGGAAUAACGUCCGGAAACGGACGCUAAUACCGCAUAAUGCAGCGGCAUCGUAAGAUGACAGUUGUUAAAGAUUUAUCGCUUGAAGAGGAGCUUGCGGCAGAUUAGCUAGUUGGUAAGGUAAUGGCUUACCAAGGCUACGAUCUGUAACCGGUCUUAGAGGACGGUCGGUCACACUGACACUGAAUAACGGGUCAGACUCCUACGGGAGGCAGCAGUCGGGAAUUUUGGGCAAUGGGCGAAAGCCUGACCCAGCAACGCCGCGUGAAGGAUGAAGUAUUUCGGUAUGUAAACUUCGAAAGAAUAGGAAGAAUAAAUGACGGUACUAUUUAUAAGGUCCGGCUAACUACGUG
rnacentral:rRNA from 1 species